GACGAACGCUGGCGGCAGGCCUAACACAUGCAAGUCGAGCGGACCUUUCGGGGUCAGCGGCGGACGGGUUAGUAACGCGUGGGAAUAUGCCCUUCUCUACGGAAUAGUCCUGGGAAACUGGGGGUAAUACCGUAUACGCCCUUUGGGGGAAAGAUUUAUCGGGGAAGGAUUAGCCCGCGUUGGAUUAGGUAGUUGGUUGGGUAAUGGCCUACCAAGCCGACGAUCCAUAGCUGGUUUGAGAGGAUGAUCAGCCACACUGGGACUGAGACACGGCCCAGACUCCUACGGGAGGCAGCAGUGGGGAAUCUUAGAAAAUGGGGGCAACCCUGAUCUAGCCAUGCCGCGUGAGUGAUGAAGGCAUUAGGGUUGUAAAGCUCUUUCAGCUGGGAAGAUAAUGACGGUACCAGCAGAAGAAGCCCCGGCUAACUACGUG
rnacentral:rRNA from 1 species